GAGGCGCUUACCUGCAGUCGAGCGGAUGAAGUAGCUUGCUACCGGAUUCAGCGGCGGACGGCCCGAUUAAUGCUUAGGAAUCUGCCUAUUAGUGGGGGACAACGUUCCUAAAGGAGCGCUCAUACCGCAUACGUCCUACGGGAGAAAGCAGGGGACCUUCUUGCCUUGCGCUAAUAUAUGAACCUAAGUCGGAUUACCUAGUUGGUAUGGUAAAGGCCUACCAAGGCGACGAUCCGUUGCGGGUCUGAUAGGAUGAUCCUCGACCCUGGGACUGAUACACGGCCCUCACUCCUCCGGGAGUGACAACCGGGGAAUAUUGCACCCUGGGGGGAACCUCGUUUCCACCUUCUCUGCAGGUGUGUAAAAUGCUCUUUCAGUGUAAUACACUUUUUUCUCGAUCAUACAGGUUCUCUUAUUCUGUCACCUUAUUGUCUUGCGACGUUCUCGCGCCAAUAAUCUCCCAUGAUUGUCUCUUUCUCUCUCCCUCCUUGGUUAAUAAUAGAGCGGUGGGCUGCCCUUCCCUCCUGACUCUCCUUGGCCCCGUCUUCCUGCUUCAUCUUUGCCGUCCCUUUUAUAUACUUUUUUUUUCCUAACUCCCCUUCCCUUUAAUUUCAUGGCUUUCCACCUUCUCUCCUAAUUUAUGGUUUCUGUCCCUCCCUAGCUUUGACGUCCUAAUUUUCCUGUUCUCUUCAAUCCUCCUUUAGCUCUUUUUUUUCAUCAUUGUCUCUACAACAACCGCGAACGUAUAUAUCUCUGCUGCCUCUAUCUCUCACUCACUUGUGUUCUUUUAUUCCCUCGCUCUCUUCUGCCCUCUACAUUUAUUUCUUGAGUAACUCCUAUCUCUUAUUCUCAUCACUAGAUUCAUCCACCCUACUUUUAUUUUCACUAUCUCUC
rnacentral:rRNA from 1 species